rnacentral:sRNA from 1 species
CUGUGCCCGAUGUUCAGGACCUGAGGAAUCAAACUGUUUGCAAUGCAAGAAGGGCUGGGCCUUGCAUCACCUCAAGUGUGUAGACAUUGACGAGUGUGGCACAGAGGGAGCCAACUGUGGAGCCGACCAAUUCUGCGUGAACACUGAGGGCUCCUAUGAGUGCCGAGACUGUGCCAAGGCCUGCCUAGGCUGCAUGGGGGCAGGGCCAGGUCGCUGUAAGAAGUGUAGCCCUGGCUACCAGCAGGUGGGCUCCAAGUGUCUCGGUGAGUCUCCUGCUGGUGGGACACAGGCACCUGGGAGUGCCUCACCCAGCAUGAAUGGUGAAGAGGCCGGAAUAUGGGCAGAUGGAAGGCAUCUGUGUGAAGGAGCAGAUCCCAGAGUCAGCAGGCUUCUUCUCAGAGAUGACAGAGGACGAGUUGGUGGUGCUGCAGCAGAUG